rnacentral:lncRNA from 1 species
AUGGAAAGAGUGGGGAAAGUAUGGAACGACUUCAAAUACAGGUGUCAGAAUCGCUUCAGUCACAAGGGAGGAAGCCAUAGGGAAAAUAUAGACAUGAAAGCCAAGGGCGGUUUGUCUGUCAAAGAGAAAAGCAUCCACACAGGGAGACUCAGCUCAGCCACAAAGCAGUCCCUUAAGAGAAAAAACAUUUUCCCUUACAACUGGGAUUAAGCCCUUCCAAGAGUUCUUCAAGGAGACACCAAAAUGGUGCCACCAAAAUCUCUCAGAUUAUUGAAACAAGCACUGAAAGAGGACAAUGAUUCUUGUGUUACCCCAGGAACAAGACUUCAUGAAGAGAUUCCUACUCUCCACAUGGUCCACAGGUGGGAGGAACAAACAUUCCUGUUCCACAAAGACCCAGAAUUCACUGGAUACUGAUAAAAUGCUCAGGUUUAGCCCCAAAAUGGCAUCUGACUAAACAGCAUACAGCUCCUGUGAGCCCACAUUCAACAUUUCUGACACAUUUGAUCCAUCUUUGGUUUCUACAGAAGACAAAGAAGAUAGGCUUAGAGGGAGAAGAUGGCUUGGUAUUGAAGAAGGGAUAGAUCCCCCUCCCAAUGUACAAAUAAAUACAUUUGAAGCUACUGCACAGGUUAAUCCCUUAAAGAAACUGGGGCCAAGGUUAGCUCUUGGAGUUGCUGAAAUAAGUGGGGACAGUUCUGCAAUUCCACAAGCUGACUGUGACUCAGAAGAGAAUCCAAGCGCCCUGUGUUUGCAGUCACGGAGGCAGAAGUAGCAUCAGUAUCUGGAGACAGCCUUGCCCAUGUUAGCAGACGGGGAGCUUGGAAAGUCCACACACAGACUGAUUGCACACACUGCCUCAUGCCCGCUUUGCUUCAGAUUACAGGGAAUCGCUGUGACGGGGGAGUGAGGGACUGUUAGGAAGCAGAAGCCCUUCUGGAAAGGAAACUCGAAGGCCCUUUUUUGCUCAGGGACUCUGUGCAAGAGGACACCUCCUCUCUGUGAGCUUCCGCCGCUGCACCCGGUCCCUUUAUGCACAGAUUGAGCAGUGGGAUCACAGCGUGUGUUUUGAUGGCCAUGGCCCAUGUGUAUUUCACUCCUCCGCUGUAACAGGUCUUUUAUGAACAUGAUCAAAAUCCCAGUUCCUGCAUGUUUUUUGAACCACUGCUUACUGUAUCUCUAAACAGGACCUUUCCUUUCAGCCUGCGGCAUCUGUCUGCAGGAGUCUGCAGGUGCACUGCGUAUGAUGCAAUCAGUGGGCUCCCUUUAUCAUCAACGUGGCAGAAUUUUUUAAAGGACAUCAUUAUAAACAAAAAGUUAGGUUUUGCUAACUAGAAAGAGAACCAGUCAGGGCAAAGC